rnacentral:tRNA from 1 species
GUCGUGUUCGUCUAGCAGGCCAAGGACGCCGGGCUUUCAUCUCGGCAACGCGGGUUCGAAUCCCGCACACGGCGCCA